GUGAUUACUACAGCUGGCGCCCUCAGCAGGGACAUUUUGUUUUGGGACCCCUACGGGAAGAAGCAGCUGCCAACAUACUUACCAUCGUCUGGAACAGACUCCUAGGUGCACUUUCGUCUUACGAGACCCCUCAGUGACUAGAAUUUUUCAUACUGGCUGGGUAUCCCACUUGUUUGACAGCAGAUGCGAGGAUAAGUGCUGUGUGAAGUUAGCCACCAUAACCAUCCUGUACAGAAACUCCAAGACAGAGCCCUGAGGAAUGCACGACUGAGAACGGCCUCUCUAGCAACAUGAAAAGCUGCACCAUGCUGCAUCAGCCUCAGAUCCUGGUCUGCUCAACAGAGCCUCCUAACAGGCAAAGCAGAGACGCCAUGGAAUGCUGGAAGCCUCGGGCAGCUCACUUCCAGUAGAUGUGCACUAUGAGAUCCAACUGAGUGUCACCUUGCUCUUAGCCCUUCAAGUAUGUCAGUUUGGAACAAGACUCGGACAGCAGGAUAAACUCAGCCAGGUGAUUGUAUGGUUCAGGAAAAACAACAAUGGCAUGCUUCAGUUCAUUCUCUUCAAACCAUUUCUUCUACCUCAUUGAGUGCCACCUUUAUUUUUAGUUAAAAUGGUGGUAGACAGGAAUAAUCAUUCUCCAGCACUCCCUGUAAUAUUUUAAUUGUUCAGAGUAAUUAUUUUCUGUUUUGAUUACUGAAGAUGGCCUGUUUAUUAUAAUCAAAGUCCUGCUGCCAUCUUCUUCCUCUAUAAUGAAAUGGAAUUUCUCUGCUGAUUGACAGCAUUUAUAUUUGGAACAUUAUUUUGAGCAUUCGGGUGACAGUCAGAAAGAAAAUGACAAAGCAAUAGGAUUAACCCAUUGCCAUCACAGUCCUGAGCUGGUGCAUCCCAUUACCCUAUGUCUUCUUCUAAGCAAAGAAAUGAGAAAUGAUCAGAAAACAGAUUAGAUCGUCUAGCACUCGUUGAUCUCAUCGCAGAACUUUAAAUAACAGAUGGGAAAUGUAAGAUUUUACAUUAGCUUGCCUUUUUAUAAAUGCAAGAAUUGCAUUAAAUGGUACCAUCAGAAGAAGAAACUGCUUGUGGAAUGGUUUUCCAUCUGCAGCUCUGUAAGUUUGUUUAGAGUAGUUGGGAAGCAUACAACUUUAAUUAUAAAAUAAAAUGCUUUUUUGAGGAAGAAAGUGGUAGCCUACCAUCCGUGUUAGUAAGUCUCACCCCAGAAAACAUCCUUUCUUACAAAAUUAUCAUCUCUAAAGGUAAAAGUAUUUGUAGAAGAUUUCAGAUGAACUUCUCAGUGCUCAGAUUAAAGGCUGAGAAUAUGCCUUCCCCAUUGACUUUGUUUGUCAGAAGGUUGCAAAAGAUGAUCACUUGACCCUGGGACUUUGCAACAGUCACAACUAUGAGUCAAUUGCCAAGCAUCUGAAUUUUAAUCAUGUGACCAUGGGGAUGCUGCAACAGUCAUAAGUGUGAAAAUGGUCAUACAUCAUUAUGGUCACUAAAUGAACUGUUGUAACUCAAAGGCUACCUUUACUAGAAGGCAGCAAAGGGAUAUUUUCUGGCCCUUUUCUAGAGAUUUUUGCAGGCCAAUUAUAGCAGCCCUCAUAAACCAACCAGGUUAGGUACUACUUGUUCAAUAACCACAAUUAAGACUUGCAACACUUGCUUAGAAACAUGAUUAUUAUGAGAGACAUCACACAACCACAACAGGUUUACAAUCUCACUUGCAUCAUGGUCAUUAAGCCAAUCAUCCCAGCCAUUAAGCAAGACAACACCUGACUGCAGCUUGUGAUUUUACUGCUGAUUUCUCUAUUGACUCUGCUUGUCAAUGGCUACAUAACAUGUAAGUGGCAAUCACAAGAUCAUGGGAUGCUGCAACUAUUUGGUCUGAACUGCCCAAAUCUCAAUAAUCAUGUGACCAUGGGGAUGCUGCAACAAUUGUAAGUGUGAGGACCAAGGCAUAAAGUCACCUUUCCAGCAAAGUCUUAUCUUUAAACAAUUACUAAACAGCCGUCAUUAAGAGAAGACUACCAUAUAAUUAUAUACUAAAGAUUUUUACAUCUUCAAACACAGGUAAAAGACUUUUUUUUAUCUGAACAAGACUUUGACCAUUUCACUGAUUUCAAGAGACCAAAUCUCUUGUCUUUUGGGACUAUAGGUAUUAAUAAACCAAUUAUAUCCAAUUAUAAUUUAAGAAAUUACAAGCAGAUCUCCUGGAAUAGGUUGCAUGCAUCAAAGUAAAUAAAUAAAAUAGUUUUAGGAA